rnacentral:rRNA from 1 species
AAGUCGUAACAAGGUUUCCGUAGGUGAACCUGCGGAAGGAUCAUUAUCGAGAGAGGAGCCUCGCGCUCCGUAUCUUCCACCCUGUGCGAAUUAUCCACUGUUGCUUUGGCGGGACCCGGGGCUCUGCCCCGGCGCUGGCCCUCAUUUCGGGGGCUUGCGCGUGCCCGCCGGACGCCCAUCUUAAUCCUUCUGUAUCAGUGCAGUCUGAGUGAUUAAACAAUCUAUUAAAACUUUCAACAACGGAUCUCUUGGCUCUGGCAUCGAUGAAGAACGCAGCGAAAUGCGAUAAGUAAUGUGAAUUGCAGAAUUCAGUGAAUCAUCGAAUCUUUGAACGCACAUUGCGCCCCCUGGUAUUCCGGGGGGCAUGCCUGUUCGAGCGUCAUUAUAACCACUCAAGCUCACGCUUGGUCUUGGGGUCCGCGUUCUCGCGGCCCCUAAAAUCAGUGGCGGUGCCGGUCGGCUCUACGCGUAGUAAUACUCCUCGCGUCUGGGUCCGGCCGGUUUACUUGCCAGCAACCCCUAAUUUAUACAGGUUGACCUCGGAUCAGGUAGGGAUACCCGCUGAACUUAAGCAUAUCAAUAAGCGGAGGACAAGAAACCAAAAGGGAUUACCCCAGUAACGGCGAGUGAAGCGGUAACAGCUCAAAUUUGAAAGCUAGCUCUUCUAGGGUUCGCAUUGUAAUUUGUAGAAGAUGCUUCGGGUGUGGCCCCGGUCUAAGUUCCUUGGAACAGGACGUCAUAGAGGGUGAGAAUCCCGUACGUGACUGGGUGCUUUCGCUCAUGUGAAGCUCUUUCGACGAGUCGAGUUGUUUGGGAAUGCAGCUCAAAAUGGGUGGUAUAUUUCAUCUAAAGCUAAAUAUUGGCCAGAGACCGAUAGCGCACAAGUAGAGUGAUCGAAAGAUGAAAAGCACUUUGGAAAGAGAGUUAAACAGUACGUGAAAUUGUUGAAAGGGAAGCGCUUGCAACCAGACUUGCGCGCUGACGAUCAUCCGGGCUUUUGCCCGGUGCACUCGCCUGCGCUCAGGCCAGCAUCGGUUUCGGUGGUGGGAUAAAGGCCUUGGGAAUGUAGCUCCUCUCGGGGAGUGUUAUAGCCCUCGGUGCAAUGCCGCCUACCGGGACCGAGGACCGCGCUUCGGCUAGGAUGCUGGCGUAAUGGUUGUAAGCGACC